CGGAGCGACGCCGCGUGAUGGAUGAAGGCCCUCGGGUUGUAACAUCUGUCGUAGGGGAGGAAAUUUUGACCGAUCCUAGGAGGAAGCACAGGCUAAGUUCGUGCCAGCAGCCGCGGUAAUACGAACUGUGCAAACGUUAUUCGGAAUCACUGGGCUUAAAGGGUGCGUAGGCGGAUUUGUAGGUCAGAUGUGAAAGCCCACGGCUCAACCGUGGAAUUGCGUUUGAAACCACAAGUCUUGAGGAAGUCAGAGGUAUGCGGAACUGAUGGUGGAGCGGUGAAAUGUGUUGAUAUCAUCAGGAACACCGGUGGCGAAAGCGGCAUACUGGGACUUUUCUGACGCUGAGGCACGAAAGCUAGGGGAGCGAACGGGAUUAGAUACCCCGGUAGUCCUAGCUGUAAACGAUCUGUACUAGUCCGUGGGGACCCCCACAUCUUCUCGGACGUAGCGAAAGUGUUAAGUACAGCGCCUGGGGAGUAUGGUCGCAAGGCUGAAACUCAAAGGAAUUGACGGGGCCUUCACACAAAAGG
rnacentral:rRNA from 1 species